AGUGAACGCUGGCGGUAGGCCUAACACAUGCAAGUCGAACGGCAGCACAGUAAGAGCUUGCUCUUACGGGUGGCGAGUGGCGGACGGGUGAGGAAUACAUCGGAAUCUACUUUUUCGUGGGGGAUAACGUAGGGAACUUACGCUUAUACCGCAUACGACCUACGGGUGAAAGCAGGGGAUCUUCGGACCUUGCGCGAUUGAAUGAGCCGAUGUCGGAUUAGCUAGUUGGCGGGGUAAAGGCCCACCAAGGCGACGAUCCGUAGCUGGUCUGAGAGGAUGAUCAGCCACACUGGAACUGAGACACGGUCCAGACUCCUACGGGAGGCAGCAGUGGGGAAUAUUGGACAAUGGGCGCAAGCCUGAUCCAGCCAUACCGCGUGGGUGAAGAAGGCCUUCGGGUUGUAAAGCCCUUUUGUUGGGAAAGAAAAGCAGCAGGUUAAUACCCCGCUGUUCUGACGGUACCCAAAGAAUAAGCACCGGCUAACUUCGUG
rnacentral:rRNA from 1 species